rnacentral:rRNA from 1 species
AUUGAACGCUGGCGGCAGGCCUAACACAUGCAAGUCGAACGGUAACAGGAAGCAGCUUGCUGCUUUGCUGACGAGUGGCGGACGGGUGAGUAAUGUCUGUGAAACUGCCUGAUGGAGGGGGAUAACUACUGGAAACGGUAGCUAAUACCGCAUAACGUCGCAAGACCAAAGAGGGGGACCUUCGGGCCUCUUGCCAUCGGGUUUGCCCAGAUGGGAUUAGCUUGUUGGUGGGGUAACGGCUCACCAAGGCGACGAUCCCUAGCUGGUCUGAGAGGAUGACCAGCAACACUGGAACUGAGACACGGUCCAGACUCCUACGGGAGGCAGCAGUGGGGAAUAUUGCACAAUGGGCGCAAGCCUGAUGCAGCCAUGCCGCGUGUAUGAAGAAGGCCUUCGGGUUGUAAAGUACUUUCAGCGGGGAGGAAGGGAGUAAAGUUAAUACCUUUACUCAUUGACGUUACCCGCAGAAGAAGCACCGGCUAACUCCGUG